AGUAAGGUCAGCUAAAUAAGCUUUCAGGCCCAUACCCCGAGAAUGCAGGUUAAACCCCUGCCCCUACUA
rnacentral:tRNA from 2 species